UACGGAGGGGGCGAGCGUUGUUCGGAAUCACUGGGUGUAAAGGGUGCGUAGGCGGUCCGUUAAGUCUGAUGUGAAAGCCCUGGGCUCAACUCAGGAAUUGCAUUGGAAACUGGUGGGCUCAAGAGUACCGGAGAGGGAAGCGGAAUUCCUGGUGUAGCGGUGAAAUGCGUAGAUACCAGGAGGAACACCGGUGGCGAAGGCGGUUUCCUGGCCGAGUACUGACGCUGAGGCACGAAAGCGUGGGGAGCGAACGGG
rnacentral:rRNA from 1 species